rnacentral:rRNA from 1 species
UACGUAGGCAGCAAGCGUUGUUCGGAAUUACUGGGCGUAAAGAGUGUGUAGGCGGUGCUCUAAGUCUGUUGUGAAAUCUCCCGGCUUAACUGGGAGGGUGCGGCGGAAACUGGAGUGCUCGAGGGUGGGAGAGGUAAGCGGAAUUCCUGGUGUAGCGGUGAAAUGCGUUGAUAUCAUCAGGAACACCGGAGGCGAAGGCGGCUCACUGGGGGGUCUUCUGACGCUGAGGAACGAAAGCCAGGGGAGCGAACGGG